CUCGUAGGCGGUCUGAUAAGUCCUGUGUGAAAUCCCUUGGCUUAACCAAGGAACUGCGCCGGAUACUGUCGGACUAGAGGCCGGGAGAGGGAAGCGGAAUUCCGAGUGUAGCGGUGAAAUGCGUAGAUAUUCGGAGGAACACCGGUGGCGAAGGCGGCUUCCUGGACCGGUUCUGACGCUGAUGAGCGAGAGCGUAGGGGAGCAAACA
rnacentral:rRNA from 1 species